GAUGAACGCUGGCGGCGUGCCUAAUACAUGCAAGUCGAGCGAACAGACGAGGAGCUUGCUCCUCUGACGUUAGCGGCGGACGGGUGAGUAACACGUGGAUAACCUACCUAUAAGACUGGGAUAACUUCGGGAGACCGGAGCUAAUACCGGAUAAUAUAUUGAACCGCAUGGUUCAAUAGUGAAAGACGGUUUUGCUGUCACUUAUAGAUGGAUCCGCGCCGCAUUAGCUAGUUGGUAAGGUAACGGCUUACCAAGGCAACGAUGCGUAGCCGACCUGAGAGGGUGAUCGGCCACACUGGAACUGAGACACGGUCCAGACUCCUACGGGAGGCAGCAGUAGGGAAUCUUCCGCAAUGGGCGAAAGCGUGACGGAGCAACGCCGCGUGAGUGAUGAAGGUCUUCGGAUCGUAAAACUCUGUUAUUAGGGAAGAACAAAUGUGUAAGUAACUAUGCACGUCUUGACGGUACCUAAUCAGAAAGCCACGGCUAACUACGUG
rnacentral:rRNA from 1 species